rnacentral:rRNA from 1 species
GAUGAACGCUAGCGACAGGCUUAACACAUGCAAGUCGAGGGGCAGCAUAGAAGUAGCAAUACUUUGGUGGCGACCGGCGCACGGGUGAGUAACGCGUAUGCAACCUACCUAUCAGAGGGGAAUAACCCGGCGAAAGUCGGACUAAUACCGCAUAAAACAGGGGCACCGCAUGGUGAUAUUUGUUAAAGAAAUUCGCUGAUAGAUGGGCAUGCGUUCCAUUAGGUAGUUGGUGAGGUAACGGCUCACCAAGCCGACGAUGGAUAGGGGAACUGAGAGGUUGGUCCCCCACACUGGUACUGAGACACGGACCAGACUCCUACGGGAGGCAGCAGUGAGGAAUAUUGGUCAAUGGGCGAGAGCCUGAACCAGCCAAGUCGCGUGAAGGAAGAAGGAUCUAUGGUUCGUAAACUUCUUUUGCAGGGGAAUAAAGUGCGGGACGUGUCCUGUUUUGUAUGUACCCUGAGAAUAAGGAUCGGCUAACUCCGUGCCAGCAGCCGCGGUAAA